rnacentral:rRNA from 1 species
CCUACGGGUGGCAGCAGUGAGGAAUAUUGGUCAAUGGGCGCGAGCCUGAACCAGCCAAGUCGCGUGAGGGAGGACGGCCCUACGGGUUGUAAACCUCUUUUGCCGGGGAGCAACGGGCGUCACGUGUGGCGCCACUGAUAGUACCCGGAGAAAAAGCAUCGGCUAACUCCGUGCCAGCAGCCGCGGUAAUACGGAGGAUGCGAGCGUUAUCCGGAUUGAUUGGGUUAAAAGGGUGCGUAGGCGGAUCGUUAAGUCAGUGGGCAAGUUGAGGGGCUCAACCCCUGCCCGCCAUUGAAACUGGCGCUCUUGAGUGGAAGAGAAGUAGGCGGAAUGCGUGGUGUAGCGGUGAAAUGCAUAGAUAUCACGCAGAACCCCGAUUGCGAAGGCAGCAUGCCGGCUUCCGACUGACGCUGAAGCACGAAAGCGUGGGGAUCGAACAGGAUUAGAUACCCCAGUAGUC